UACAUGCAAGUCGAGCGGACAGAUGRGAGCUUGCUCCCUGAUGUUAGCGGCGGACGGGUGAGUAACACGUGGGUAACCUGCCUGUAAGACUGGGAUAACUCCGGGAAACCGGGGCUAAUACCGGAUGGUUGUYUGAACCGCAUGRUUCAGACAUAAAAGGUGGCUUCGGCUACCACUUACAGAUGGACCCGCGGCGCAUUAGCUAGUUGGUGAGGUAACGGCUCACCAAGGCRACGAUGCGUAGCCGACCUGAGAGGGUGAUCGGCCACACUGGGACUGAGACACGGCCCAGACUCCUACGGGAGGCAGCAGUAGGGAAUCUUCCGCAAUGGACGAAAGUCUGACGGAGCAACGCCGCGUGAGUGAUGAAGGUUUUCGGAUCGUAAAGCUCUGUUGUUAGGGAAGAACAAGUGCCGUUCAAAUAGGGCGGCACCUUGACGGUACCUAACCAGAAAGCCACGGCUAACUACGUGCCAGCAGCCGCGGUAAUACGUAGGUGGCAAGCGUUGUCCGGAAUUAUUGGGCGUAAAGGGCUCGCAGGCGGUUUCUUAAGUCUGAUGUGAAAGCCCCCGGCUCAACCGGGAGGUCAUUGAAACUGGGGACUUGAUGCAGAGAGAAUUGAUCACGUGUACGUGAUGCUAAGAUGUGAGACCAUGCGA
rnacentral:rRNA from 1 species